rnacentral:lncRNA from 1 species
CUUUUGACGACUAAAGCUGAAAUGGGCUGAUGAGUGCCGGGUAGUUGGAAUUGGAUCUCCUUAACCAUGAGGGUUCAGCUUAGAGAUUAGGAAACUGGGCAGGCUUAAAGCCAGGUGAGUCCUGGCUGGGUAUAAGAGUUUGCUGUGCCACUAAAAGUUUUUUUUUUUUUUUUUCCUUAUGAUCCCGAUCGAACUUGAUGCGAGGCAUGCGCUGGAACUGCUGAGCUAAAUCCCUGGUGUUUUCUAUAUUCUUGAUCCCAAGUGGAAAAGAUGGUGACUUGAUGCUUCUUGGCCAGGAGGUCAGGCUAAGGGAUAGCAGAACCCUUGGAGGUGUCUUCCAAAGUAACUGGCCUCUCCAGGUGAAGGUCUACAAGUGCAGCCUUGGUUACAUGUUUGCCCGCACCAGUCUCGCUGAAGGUGUUGAAGGGACUCCUCUCCUCCCAUAAAGGCCUUGUCACCUGGCAUCUGGCCAUCGGACUGGACUGCAGGUUCCAGGCAGUAGAGCUCCCAGCAGGCAUUGCCAAUCUGGACUCCAGCCUGGCUAAUGUGGAUGGAGAUGCACUCAUGCAUGAUGGGGACUUGUAGGGGUCAGCGGUGAUGAGGCUCUCCCACUGACUGCCAAUGAGUCUGGGGGCAGAACCAGUGCCGUCUCAGGGCCUCAUAUCCAGCUUGGGAUGUGCUGAGGUUCCCCGGAGCUGGGUCAGCUCAGCCAGGGUGAGAUGAUG